rnacentral:rRNA from 1 species
GACGAACGCUGGCGGCGUGCCUAAUACAUGCAAGUUGAGCGAUGAAGAUUGGUGCUUGCACCAAUUUGAAGAGCAGCGAACGGGUGAGUAACGCGUGGGGAAUCUGCCUUUGAGCGGGGGACAACAUUUGGAAACGAAUGCUAAUACCGCAUAACAACUUUAAACAUAAGUUUUAAGUUUGAAAGAUGCAAUUGCAUCACUCAAAGAUGAUCCCGCGUUGUAUUAGCUAGUUGGUGAGGUAAAGGCUCACCAAGGCGAUGAUACAUAGCCGACCUGAGAGGGGGAUCGGCCAAAUUGGGACUGAGACACGGCCCAAACUCCUACGGGAGGCAGCAGUAGGGAAUCUUCGGCAAUGGACGAAAGUCUGACCGAGCAACGCCGCGUGAGUGAAGAAGGUUUUCGGAUCGUAAAACUCUGUUGGUAGAGAAGAACGUUGGUGAGAGUGGAAAGCUCAUCAAGUGACGGUAACUACCCAGAAAGGGACGGCUAACUACGUG